UACGUAGGGGGCGAGCGUUGUCCGGAUUUAUUGGGCGUAAAGGGCGCGUAGGCGGUCGGGUAAGUCGGAUGUGAAAUCCCAGGGCUCAACCCUGGAACUGCAUUCGAUACUGCAUGGCUAGGGUACUGGAGAGGAGACUGGAAUUUACGGUGUAGCAGUGAAAUGCGUAGAUAUCGUAAGGAAGACCAGUGGCGAAGGCGAGUCUCUGGACAGUUACCGACGCUGAGGCACGAAGGUCAGGGGAGCAAACGGG
rnacentral:rRNA from 1 species